rnacentral:lncRNA from 1 species
UCAGAGAAAAAAAAAAGCUACGCUUUUUGAAAGUUAUCUUGCAGUUCAGGAGCUCGGAAGCGAUCCUGGAGGCAGUGGUGGGACAUCACUGCAGGACCUGCUCCGGAGAAGAGGACUGCCCUCACAGCCGCAUCGCACAAGAUGACUGACGAGCAGCGUGGGAGAAAGCAGGGCUGGGAACAGGAAGAUUGGUCGGUAGAAAAGUUAUUCUCCUGGAGAUACAACUUGCUUGCUGUUCCAGGAGAAAAGGAGUUCCACAGGGAAGGCAGAGAAGCCCUGCUCUUCCUGCCCCAGGAGGUGAUGACAGGAUGAAGAGAGUUGGGGGCGGGACUGAUUUAGGAAUAUCCAGAAGGGGUUGAUGCAAACACCAAGGGCCGGGAGGCCCUGAGACAAAAUCGAGGAGCUCAGCGUAGUUAAGGGGGUGGGGAUGCUGGAGACAGGCCUCGUUUGCACUUCUAGGAGAUUAGGUCAGUCCCUCCAUGGUAGAGAGAGACGGAACGUACAUACAAUCAGAAAAUAGCUAGGCCGUGCUUAAAAAUAGAACCCUGAUUUAUAAUCUGCAACAAUCUGCCCAGAAAGCCAACCUCUUAUCUAAAUCUAUCAGCCUAGGAGGGCAGCCCACUACAAGUUAGUCUUGUAGGAAGCCAGAUUGCUAUCUCUAGUGAGAAUCCAGGAAGCUAAACAGUAACUUCUAUAAUAAUCAGCCCCAAUGGCCAGGCCUUGAUUGAUAACUUUAGACAUCUUUCUUACUUUUUGUCCCUACUUUUAUUUUAGGACCAACCAGAGAGAAUCAGAGGCACGCACAGCCCAGUCAAUCACAUAGGAAACCCCACCUCUCAUUAGCCUGUUCUCCGCUUCCCUGUGCCAACAGCCUCCCAUCCGGGCACCCCUUCCCUGCCUUCCCCUUUUCCUAACAGAAAGCUUCCUCACUCCUCUGCCUGUCUUUAAGGCUGCAAAAUGCAAGUGAUGGCAGCUGACGCCCUUGCUGCAGCAAGCUCAAAAUAAAUAGCUUUUGCUUUUUCUCCUUUGGUUGAUCAUCCUAUAUUUCCAAAAUAGAGAAGCUUGGACUAGACUCAGUUGGUCUAAUCUGCAAGCCCUGUGGCAGGGUUCUUUGGUCUGCAUGUUUGUGUCUCUCUGAACCUGAUAUGUUGAAAUCCUAAUGCCUAAUGUGAUGGUACUAGGUGACGGAGUCUUUGGGAGGUGCUUCACUCACGAUGGAGGAACUGCCAUAAAUGGGAUUAGUGCCUUUAUAAAAGAGACCCCCCACCCCGCCCCGAGAUCCCUCACCUCUCCACCCAGCGGGAAGUAGGCAGUCUGCAGCCCAGAAGAGAACCUUCAGCAGAACCCAACCACACUGGCCUGCUGACCUUCGACUUCCGGCCUCCAGAACACUGUGAGAAAUAAAUUUCUGUUGUUAUAAGCUACCCAGUCUGUGGUACUUUGUAACAGCAGCCAGAACAGUCUAAGACAUAGGGUAUAGAUCACCUCCCCUGGGGAACAGGGUGAGGAAUCAGAGUCAUGUGUUGCACAUGGCUAAUACUAGGGGGGGACCAGGUCAGCCAGAGAGACCCACCCUGCCUGAAGCAAGUGAGGGGAGCAGAGUAACUGGGCAUCAGCCUCAGCUGUAAGUGCCAACAUGGGAGGUAGCAUGCAGGUGGCCAGGGGCUGCUGUUCUGGAGACCCCGGGAACUGGAAGACCACAAGCUGUCCCUUUUCCCUCUGCUGAGAAGACACACAAGUCAUAUGUCUUCCUUUGUACACCCAGCCAUGAUUUUGGAGAGGAGCUGGAGAGAAGAGUGGAAGUGUGAAAAACUGGGGAGGAAACUGGGCUUUUUUACUGAGAGUCUGAGUAUUAGCUAAAGGAGUUGUUUAAAUGACUACAUCACCAACUUCAGUGUUAUUUCCCCAACAGUGGACCCACUCAGAAGAGCAGAUGAGGUAUAGGCACAAUAUUAAGCUGUAUUUUCUCUGCGUGUUUAAAUUGUAGUAUAAGCAAAAUUGGCAAACCUAGCAGAAACAAAACUAAUGUAUUUUUCCAUUCCUGUGCUAAACAAUUCUGGGAUAAAGUGUAAUUUCCUGGUUCUGAGCUCAACAGUGCUGGGACCAGGCAAAAAUAACUAAGGUACAGUAAAUACUCCAAUAAAUACUUGCUCCAAUAAACACUUGCUCCUGGAAAAUUAGACCGCAGAACCAGUAAAACAGCUAACUUAUAUUAGUCCUGUAUCCUGCAACUUUACUGAAUUCACAGAGUAGUUCUAAUACUUUUUCGGUAGAGACUUGAGGGUUUUUUACACAUAGUAUCAUGUCAUCUGUAAAUGGUGACAGUUUUAUUUCCUCCCUCUGAGUUGGAUGCCUUUUAUUUCUUUUUCUUUUAUGGUUACUGUGGCCAGGAUUUCCAAUACUCUAUUACAUAGAAGUGGGUAGAGUGGGCAUCCUUGUCUUGUUCCUAAUUUUAGAGGGAAAGCUUUCACCUUUUCACCACUGAGUAUGAGACUGCCUGGGAUGUGUCAUAAAUGGGUUUCAUUAUGUGGAGACAUGUUCUUUCUAGACUCACAUUGUGUGGAGUUUUCACCAUGAAGGAUGUUGAAUUUUGUCAAAUGCUCUUUCUGCGUCUAUGGAGACGACCAUCCACAGAGAACACAGCCAAUAUUUUACAAGUUUAAAUGGAGUGUAAUCUAGAAAAAUACGGAAUCGCCAUGUUGUACACCUGAAACUAAUACCAUAUUGUAAAUGAACUAUACAUCACAUCACUUACAGUAAAAUAAAGUAGCGAACAUCUCAAGACUAAGAGUUUUCUUACCCAAGUUCACUUUUAGGCCCUCACAUCUCUGUGCCUACCUGUCCACGCUAUUAAAUUCUGCCUUAUCCCAAUGCGUUCCCUGUCUUCAAGACCCACCUUAAAGCCACACCAUGCAAGCCCUAAACCCUGAGUAAUUUCCCCCUAUCUCCUUUGUGAGAUGCUUUUAGAUUCUGUCGAGGCAAUAUUCUUUUUUACUGCAAUAAGUUAAAAACGAACAAAAAAAAAGCCCUAGCUUUUCUUCACCAGCAGUUUUGUUUCUGGCAGUCUUUUAGGAUAAGCCAUAGCCAACAAUACCUUUUGGAAGUUUAUGGUCUGGCUGUGGAAUCUGAGGGGGAAACAGCCACACAAUAGGCAUGUGGCAGCAGGAAAUGGAUGAGUUGCUUCCAAGCAGAAGUGGUUACAGCUCCAGAGGCCAAAGGCCAGAAGUCUAUACAGGGGAGAAGAUGUAAACAUAUACUCCUAGUGGCAAACACAGGGCAGUUUCUGCGCACGGAAGAGACUAAUGACACUGCUUUUAUCUUCCGUCAGUCUCCGCACACAGCAAGAGCGGCAGUGAAAUUUAAGAUGGGCAUGAAAAGGCACCUAGCAGAUCCCUACACGAACGCAAGCAUGCGUACACGGGGUAACUGUGAGCCCCAAGAAGGAGGGCUCAUUGCUCAGCUUUUUCAUUCUUUUUAUUAAAUUGACUCAGGCGGAGGGAGAAGAGAAAAAGACAGUGGUCCUGAUGUUCUCAAGGCCCUGGUGGAUGCGAAAACUUCUGGCUGCCCUUUCCAAGCCCACCAAAGACAGGCUGGAAGGAUGGGCUGUGAACUCCGAACGAAGCUGCAAACGCGUGUGAAUCCCAAGCUCCCAGGUUUAACAGGUUCCCUUGCUCUGCACGUGCACUUGGCCCCUGCCCCUCUCGUGGUUCCAGGUCCUGACGAGGGGCCUCAGUUGUUGGAGGAAGGCUCAGAAUCAGGCUUCCUAUUCCACCAAGUUCAGACUGUAUUUCGACACUAAGAAUUAAUUCCUCGCUUACCUCGGUCUGCAAACCUCAUCUGUGCCAACCCCGAAAGCUUUAUUCCCUCUGCUGGGCUGGCCAGUGAGACUGGGGUAUGGUUGCUUCUAUAUUUAGUUCCCAAAUGAGCCUUGGAAGCAGCCAGAACUCUUUCCCGGCUCCAUCUCAGUUGAGCUGUCAUCUCCUGGCUGUCGGUUCUGCUUCCAGCUCCCUGGUUUUUUGGGCUGAACGGCUUCAUGUCAGGCCUCCAGAAGGACCUCGGCCUGCAUGGCAGGCAACUGGUCCAUCCUCCUUUCAACCCACCUGGGAGGCCCAGAAGCCACCAAACUUUCCAAUAAGACCAGGCAGAAAUACACCUGAUUCCUUUCACCAGCAGACACAGUCCUGCUUCAGCUUUUCUCCUUCUCCUGCCAACUCUCUAGACCAGACCGUCACUCCAGCCCCUAAACAUCUGCUCUCCAAGCAUCUCUACCUAAAUGAGUCCUUCUUUCCUGUUGUAGAAGUGCUUACAUCAACACCGCAGUGCCAUCUUGUUCAAGCAAAAUUAGUUGAAAGAAGUAAGACGACAUAUCUUGGGUGGGGAAAGAAGAAGUUUCACGGGAAGACAAAUGUUUAUCUUUAAAUACUUCUUUCUGUGACUCCAUAGAGCUGGACUUUUGGUGGAAUGAUAGGAAGGGAGCUCUUGGCUAAAAUAAAGGAGACUUUUCUAAUAGUGAUACUCAAGUUAAUAAGCCUACUUAGAGAGCUUUUAAAUUUGGGUGCGGGUUAUUUGGGUAUGUUCUUUUUGUAAGUUUAUCGAGCCAUGCGCUUACGACUUAAGCACUUUUCUGUAUUCAUGUUAUUUUCCAGGUAAAAGUUAUUACCAGUGCACAGCUCCCAACCUUCACUGCUCACAGUCAGGGAGCUGCUGAAGUAGAGCCCGGAUGACAUCUCACUGGGGGAAGCCUGGGAGACUCAUGCCUGGGACAGGGGAAAGUCAGAUGGCAUCUCCGUCUCCAUGGACUUUGUGACUACAUUUUCUGGAUCUUCCCAAGAUGGGGAAUUUGUAGUGUGCAGGCUCCUGCCCCCAGAUCAACCCUAGAGAAACCAGAGAAGCAAGAGGGGAAGAUUCCGGGAAGGGAGAAUGACAAUGACCACACAGAACUGUGAGUAAUCCCUGGGUCAGCAGAAACCUGCCUUCGUCUGGUGUGAAUGUGGGACAAGGGUGGCUGGGGAAGGUGGCUGGAGGGGACAGUGGGAGAAGAGGCUGGAAGAGAGCUUUGUACGUUCUGCUCUGGUCUCCCUGCCCCCACCCAUGUCCCAGGAGCCUGAAGACAACGCCUGACUCCCUGCCCCUCAGAAGCGGGUCGCAGGGGCUCAGCUCUGGAGUCUGUUGUCUGCGGUCUCAGUGAUGGUGGAGGCAGCUCUAAUAUUUGGGCAGAAGAAGCCCUGGUAGGUAGUGGUGUUAGGUCUGGCAGCGGCCCUAGGCUCUUGUUCCCCAGCACCCCCAGCCCCCCAGCUAGCGGGCAACCCCCUUGGAGACGGCCGUCUCCUAAGGCAGAGUUGCUACGGGGGUUUAAUGUUAAACCGGACCGGAAACGUUUCUGGUGAGAUGAUGGGCUGUGGUCCUGGGGUGACCAGGCCUCCCACUGGGAGCUCAUGACCCCUCUCCUCAAACUCCCCAGGGUGGACCUUUGACCCUUCCCCAAACACAGUACUGGAAAAUGGUAGCUGGUAUUCCCAGGGACGCUGUGAACUCAUCUGAGCACAACUAGACCCCUGAGGAGUUCUGAUGCCAAAAAAAAGUAUUUGCACAACAAACACCAUCUAACAGAGAAGUAUUACAAGGGCCAGGGCCAAGGGGGGAGGGUGGAAGAAGUGGGAUGGACGGGGAGCUUGGGGUGGGGGGAUGCAAACUAUUACAUUUAUAACCAAUGAGGUCCUGCUGUACAGCACAGGGAACUCUAUCCAGUCUCUUGGGAUAGACCAUGAUGGACGAUAACAUGAGAAAAAGAAUCUCUGUGUGUACGACAGGGUCACUGCUGUACAGCAGAAACUGACUCAACACUGUAAAUCAAUUUUUUUUUUUUUUUCUUUUUGCCAUUUCUUGGGCCGCUCCCGUGGCACGUGGAAGUUCCCAGGUUAGGGGUUGAAUUGGAGCUGCAGCUGCCGGCCUACGCCAGAGCCACAGCAGCGCAGGAUCCAAGCCGCAUCUGCAACCUACCCCACAGCUCACGGCAACACCGGAUCCUUAACCCUCUGAGCGAGGCCAGGGGUCGAACCCACAACCUCAUGGUUCCUAGUCGGAUUCGUUAACCACUGAGCCACAAUGGGAACUCGAACACUGUAAAUCAGUUAAUACUCUAAUAUACUAUAG